rnacentral:rRNA from 1 species
UACGAAGGGGGCUAGCGUUGUUCGGAAUUACUGGGCGUAAAGCGCACGUAGGCGGAUAUUUAAGUCAGGGGUGAAAUCCCGGGGCUCAACCCCGGAACUGCCUUGAUACUGGGUAUCUCGAGUCCGAGAGAGGUGAGUGGAAUUCCGAGUGUAGAGGUGAAAUUCGUAGAUAUUCGGAGGAACACCAGUGGCGAAGGCGGCUCACUGGCUCGGUACUGACGCUGAGGUGCGAAAGCGUGGGGAGCAAACAGG